GACGAACGCUGGCGGCGUGCUUAACACAUGCAAGUCGAGCGAGGCCUUUCCUUCGGGAGAGUGUCCUAGCGGCGAACGGGUGAGUAACACGUGGGCAACCUGCCCUCAGCUCUGGGAUAACUCCAAGAAAUUGGGGCUAAUACCGGAUAUGACCGCUGACCGCAUGGUCUGGUGGUGGAAAGAUUUAUCGGCUGGGGAUGGGCCCGCGGCCUAUCAGCUUGUUGGUGGGGUAGUGGCCUACCAAGGCGACGACGGGUAGCCGGCCUGAGAGGGUGACCGGCCACACUGGGACUGAGACACGGCCCAGACUCCUACGGGAGGCAGCAGUGGGGAAUAUUGCGCAAUGGGCGAAAGCCUGACGCAGCGACGCCGCGUGGGGGAUGACGGCCUUCGGGUUGUAAACCUCUUUCAGCAGGGACGAAGCGAAAGUGACGGUACCUGCAGAAGAAGCACCGGCCAACUACGUGCCAGCCGCCGCAGUAACAC
rnacentral:rRNA from 1 species